rnacentral:tRNA from 1 species
GCCCUCGUCGUUUAAUGGAUAGGACGCGAGAUUGCGGAUCUCGUAAUGGGAGUUCGAUUCUCUCCGGGGGCA